GACGAACGCUGGCGGCGUGCCUAAUACAUGCAAGUCGAGCGGACGGAUGGGAGCUUGCUCCCAGACCGUCAGCGGCGGACGGGUGAGUAACACGUGGGCAACCUGCCUGUAAGGCUGGGAUAACUCCGGGAAACCGGGGCUAAUACCGGAUAACUCUUUCCCUCACAUGAGGGAAAGCUGAAAGAUGGCAUCUCGCUAUCACUUACAGAUGGGCCCGCGGCGCAUUAGCUAGUUGGUGAGGUAACGGCUCACCAAGGCGACGAUGCGUAGCCGACCUGAGAGGGUGAUCGGCCACACUGGAACUGAGACACGGCCCAGACUCCUACGGGAGGCAGCAGUAGGGAAUCUUCCGCAAUGGACGAAAGUCUGACGGAGCAACGCCGCGUGAGUGAUGAAGGUUUUCGGAUCGUAAAACUCUGUUGUCAGGGAAGAACAAGUACCGGAGUAACUGCCGGUACCUUGACGGUACCUGACCAGAAAGCCACGGCUAACUACGUG
rnacentral:rRNA from 1 species